CGGACGAAACAGGGGUGUCCCGGCUGCACAGGCUGGCGACUGAGAAAGACCCUCGGCACCCGAUCCAGGUCAUGCUGGCGUGGGGAGUUUUCACCAGUACGGC
rnacentral:ncRNA from 2 species